AGUGAACGCUGGCGGUAGGCCUAACACAUGCAAGUCGAACGGCAGCACAGUAAGAGCUUGCUCUUACGGGUGGCGAGUGGCGGACGGGUGAGGAAUACAUCGGAAUCUACUUUUUCGUGGGGGAUAACGUAGGGAAACUUACGCUAAUACCGCAUACGACCUACGGGUGAAAGCAGGGGAUCUUCGGACCUUGCGCGAUUGAAUGAGCCGAUGUCGGAUUAGCUAGUUGGCGGGGUAAAGGCCCACCAAGGCGACGAUCCGUAGCUGGUCUGAGAGGAUGAUCACCCACACUGGAACUGAGACACGGCCCAGACUCCUACGGGAGGCAGCAGUGGGGAAUUUUGGACAAUGGGCGCAAGCCUGAUCCAGCCAUCCCGCGUGGGUGAAGAAGGCCUUCGGGUUGUAAAGCCCUUUUGUUGGGAAAGAAAAGCAGCAGGUUAAUACCCCGCUGUUCUGACGGUACCAAAAGAAUAAGCACCGGCUAACUUCGU
rnacentral:rRNA from 1 species